rnacentral:rRNA from 1 species
AAUGGUCUAAGAUAAGCCAUGGCACGUCUAAGUACAAACUAAAUGGAUGGGUGAAACUGGCAAAUGGGCUCAUUACAACGGUUAUGAUGUACCCGGGAGUUCCGAUGGAUAUUUCCAGUAACACUAGAACUAAUACAUGUCCCUGCGUUUAUUAGUUUCGCACAGUCCGUCGCUGAGUCAUGGUAAACAGUUGAUCGACUCGACGUCCCGGAACAGUUUCCGCCCCAUCAGCUUCGAUGGUUGGGUAUUGGCCUACCAUUGCAACAACGGGUAACGAGGAAUUAGGGUUUGAUUUCGGAGAGGGAGCCUGAGAAACGGCUACCACAUCUACGGAUGGCAGCAGGCGCGCAAAUUACCCAAUGCAGACACUGUGAGGUAGUGACGAGAAAUAAUAAAGCGGGACUUCUGUUUCGCUGUUAUAAUGAGGAAUAACCAAAGGUCAUUCCGAUUAGCAACUGAUGGGAAAAGUCUGGUGCCAGCAGCCGCGGUAAUACCAGCGU